AUACGGAGGGUGCAGGCGUUAAUCGGAAUUACUGGGCGUAAAGCGCGCGUAGGCGGAUAUUUAAGUCUCAUGUGAAAGCCCUGGGCUCAACCUGGGAACUGCAUGGGAUACUGGGUAUCUAGAAUACAGUAGAGGGUAGUGGAAUUUCAGGUGUAGCGGUGAAAUGCGUAGAGAUCUGAAGGAACAUCAGUGGCGAAGGCGACUACCUGGACUGAUAUUGACGCUGAGGUGCGAAAGCGUGGGGAGCAAACGGGAUUAGAUACCCUAGUAGUCC
rnacentral:rRNA from 1 species